rfam:Triticum aestivum genome assembly, contig: Triticum_aestivum_CS42_TGACv1_scaffold_005023_1AL
AAAGGACUCCCUCCGUCCCAAAAUUCUUUUCUUAGAUUUGUCUAGAUACGUAUGUAUCAAGUCACAUUUUAGUAUUAGAUACAUCCGUAUCUAGACAAAUCUAAGACAAGAAAUUUGGUACAGAGGGAGUAGUUG